rnacentral:tRNA from 1 species
GCCGGAGUGGUGAAAUUGGCAGACGCACCGGUUUCAGGGACCGGCGGGCUUUACGCCUGUGUGGGUUCGAGUCCCACCUCCGGCACAA